GGGGAUGUGGCUCAGUGGUAGAGCGUCCGCUUUGCAUCAUGCAACAUGCGGAAGGCCCAGGUUUCGAUCACCUGCUUCUCCA
rnacentral:tRNA from 1 species